GACGAACGCUGGCGGCGUGCUUAACACAUGCAAGUCGAACGAAGUAGCGAACGGGUGAGUAACGCGUAAUCAACCUGUCCUCCAGCGGGGGACAACAGUUGGAAACGACUGCUCAUACCGCAUACUGAAGGAGGGGAUUGCGUCAGUUGAGCUAGUUGGAGGGGUAACGGCCUACCAAGGCGAUGAUCAGUCGCCGGUCUGGGAGGAUGAACGGCCAAAUUGGGAAUGAGACACGGCCCAGACUCCUACGGUAGGCAGCAGGGGGGAAUCUUCCGCAAUGGACGAAAGUCUGACGGAGCAACGCCGCGUGAGUGAUGACGGCCUUCGGGUUGUAAAGCUCUGUUAAUCGGGACGCGGUACCGGAAUAGAAAGCCACGGCUAACUACGUGCCAGCCGCCGCGGUAAUAC
rnacentral:rRNA from 1 species